rnacentral:rRNA from 1 species
UGGGGAAUUUUGGACAAUGGGCGCAAGCCUGAUCCAGCAAUGCCGCGUGCAGGAUGAAGGCCUUCGGGUUGUAAACUGCUUUUGUACGGAGCGAAAAGGUCUGCCCUAAUACGGUGGGCUCAUGACGGUACCGUAAGAAUAAGCACCGGCUAACUACGUGCCAGCAGCCGCGGUAAUACGUAGGGUGCAAGCGUUAAUCGGAAUUACUGGGCGUAAAGCGUGCGCAGGCGGUUAUGCAAGACAGAGGUGAAAUCCCCGGGCUUAACCUGGGAAUUGCAUUUGUGACUGCAUCGCUGGAGUGCGGCAGAGGGGGAUGGAAUUCCGCGUGUAGCAGUGAAAUGCGUAGAUAUGCGGAGGAACACCGAUGGCGAAGGCAAUCCCCUGGGCCUGCACUGACGCUCAUGCACGAAAGCGUGGGGAGCAAACG